UCGCACCGCCAUUCAGGUACCCCAGAGCUCUGAACUUCUCCUACCUUCCCAGGUGUGUCGGGUCGUUCUCUCAGCUGGUUCUGUGCUGCCCUGGACGUGCCUGCAGCCUGAUUCACGGGCACCUCCGAGCCUGCAGGAUCAAGCUCCACCCAGGGCAGAGGGUCAUACUUUGGCCAUCUGGUUUUCAUCUUUGAGCUGAACUGUCUGUGCUGCCCUGGUGUAGGCAGGCUGUGCCAAAGGACUCUCAGGGCUGUGUGCCAUCUUUAAGCUGCUCGUCUUUGUGUCAUCAGAGCUUAUCAUGAAUGGCAGAGACAACUGAAACUAAGGGAAAGGUUUCUUUUCCUGAUUGAAGUCAUCUCCAGUUUCUGAAAUCUUCUGCAUGACUGAGCAGAGAAUGCCACGCUUGAGCUUGGGAUCAUAGAAUCCCAGAAUGGCCUGGGUUGCAAAGGCCCACAGUGCUCAUCCAGUUCCAACCCCCUGCUAUGUGCAGGUUGCCAACCACCAGACCAGGCUGAGAUCCAGGAUUGAUGCGCUGAACUGAAGAUGACUCUAAGAAAAGCAACUUCCAUUAUGAGGUUGGGACUCGUCCCUGUAUGACACUGAAAUACCACAGAAUCAUAGAACAUCCCCAGUUGGAUGGUUUCCAUCACGUCCAACUCCCUGCAGUUCAAACCAUAUUUCUGAGAGCAUUUAUCUAAAUGGUUCUUCAGCUCUUAAUGACUUUGGCCCUUCCUGAGCCGCUGUCCAAAAUGCCCCUGAAAAAUACCCAGGAUGGCUGAUUUUCAGGGGGGGAUUCCUAACAGAGGAUCUCAUUUCUGAGGGUCUGCAAUAAUCCACUACACCACAAUGAUCACACUACACCACACUACACCACAAUGAUAUUGCUUGCAUGUUUCCACUCAGUAAUUAGUAAUAAUAAGUUUUGAAAUAACAUGUUUUUUCAUGUAAUACAUUUUUUAUUCUGCAAGUUGAUUGUGUUUUUUUUCCUUAUUAUUUCCAAGAUAAUAGUAGUUAUUUUAAGGGAAACCUCAGUGAAUGUGUUCAAUAAUACAAUUGUUUGCUUUCCUAAUUAUAAUGUAUAUAUUGUCACACUGGCUUCACUUUGUAAUACAUCUGGAUAAUUACUAUUUGUCACUAAUGUCUCCACCAGGGCCCUUCUAUGCUAUAACUGCCUUUGAACAAAGAGCCAAUAGGAAGGAAACGUUUGCUGCCCCAGAAUGCUGAUAAUCUCAGUUAAUGACACGAUGCUGCUGUGGGAUCAACCAAGGAGUCAGAAAUGAGCAAACCUCAUUUCAGGUGUAAUGUUUUUUCUCCAGUUACCUCUGGUGUACACAUCUACUGGUCUCCUUGGUUGAGAUCCAUGUUUCCAUCUCACCAUUUGUGUCAAUAAAAAUCAGAGUAAAUUACUGCAAAAAUAAUAGAUUCUAUUUCCCCCCCACAUCUAACUGCAUGCAGCGUGUUUUUAUCCAGCUGCUCACAAAAAGAAACUCACUGCAUUUCCUUG